AUUGAACGCUGGCGGCAGGCCUAACACAUGCAAGUCGAGCGGAGCGGCGGACGGGUGAGUAAUGCCUAGGAAUCUGCCUGGUAGUGGGGGAUAACGUCCGGAAACGGGCGCUAAUACCGCAUACUAUCAGAUGAGCCUAGGUCGGAUUAGCUAGUGGGGGGGGUAAAGGCCUACAAGGGCGACGAUCCGUAACUGGUUCGAGAGGAUGAUCAGUCAAAUGGGAACUGAGACACGGUCCAGAUCCCUACGGAAGGCAGCAGGGGGGAAUAUUGGACAAGGGGCGAAAGCCUGAGCCAGCCAUGCCGCGUGUGUGAAGAAGGUCUUCGGUUUGUAAAGCACGUUAAGUUGGGAGGCGGUACCAACAGAAUAAGCACCGGCUAACUUCGUGCCAGCAGCCGCGGUAAUUC
rnacentral:rRNA from 1 species